rnacentral:tRNA from 1 species
AAUUAGCUCAGCUGGGAGAGCGCCUGCUUUGCACGCAGGAGGUCAGCGGUUCGAUCCCGCUAUU